ACACACACACACACACACACACACACACACACACACACACACACACACACACACACACACACACACACACACACACACACACACACACACACACACACACACACACAUCUGUUCAUGCGAGAUAAAAAUCACGGAAAAAAAUGUUUCGAUGACAUCUCCAUGUAUCUGAGGCCACGCCUUCUGGUCUUCGGAAGCCUUAAUGAUUCAAGUCAUUACAAUAAACCUCGGGUCAUUAAGGACUGACCUGAGGAACACACACACACACACACACACACACACACACACACACACACACACACACACACACACACACACACACACACACACAUGUACAAACGAACACACAAUGUCGAGGGGUAUUUAUGGACGUCAAGCCAACAAGCACUUCACAGGCUCUCAAGGCGGUCUCGGGUCAAGAGGUCUCCUGUUCUUGUUUCCCGUAAACAUGAGGACCCCUGUACACCCCUGUAUCAAAUGUUCAUGGUGUAAUAAUUACUUCCCGUUGUCCGCACUCGCAGCUCAUAGGGCGGCCUGCCUUCCAGAGGGCCUUGGGACUGGAUCGAAAGAUAUAUCUACUAGAAACAAUGAAGAGACGUCGUCGACUAGCUCUGAUCGAUCAGAUGUCGGUUUCUCUCAACCAGACCCCAGCGAUAUUGGAAGUUGUUCUCCACGGGCGGGUCUCAGCGACGAAGCCAGUCAAAACCAAAGGACUAUCUCCGAAGAAGGCGGGUCUGGUAGGCUCAGCCAUUGGCCCUCCUCUUCAGCGAUCGGUAGUGGACGAAAACGAAAACAAGCGAAUACAGGAACAAACGACACCUGCAGGAAAAAGCAAGCCCGUCGUGAGGGAUUCUCCCAUCCAAACAGUUCUCCACAGCCAGGACCCAGCGGUUAUAACCCGGGACGGCCGACAACAACACCCUCGCCAACACCAGGU